CAGUAACGGCGAGUGAAGCGGCAACAGCUCAAAUUUGAAAUCUGGCCCUUGUGGUCCGAGUUGUAAUUUGUAGAAGAUGCUUUUGGUGAGGUUCCUUCCGAGUUCCCUGGAACGGGACGCCUUAGAGGGUGAGAGCCCCGUACGGUUGGAUACCAAGCCUUUGUAAAGCUCUUUCGACGAGUCGAGUAGUUUGGGAAUGCUGCUCUAAAUGGGAGGUAAAUUUCUUCUAAAGCUAAAUACCGGCCAGAGACCGAUAGCGCACAAGUAGAGUGAUCGAAAGAUGAAAAGCACUUUGAAAAGAGGGUUAAAUAGCACGUGAAAUUGUUGAAAGGGAAGGAUUUAUGACCAGACUUUUUCCAGGCGGAUCAUCCGGUGUUCUCACCGGUGCACUUCGUCUGGUUUAGGCCAGCAUCGGUUUCUAUAGAGGGAUAAAAGUAGUAGGAAUGUGGCACCCUCCGGGGUGUGUUAUAGCCUGCUACAUAAUACCUUUACGGGGACCGAGGUACGCGCUUCUGCAAGGAUGCUGGCAUAAUGGUUAUUAAUCACCCGUCUUGAAACACGGACCAAGGAGUCGAACAUUUGUGCAAGUGUUUGGGUGUUAAACCCUCACGCGUAAUGAAAGUGAACGGAGGUGAGAGCCCUUUACGGGGUGCAUCAUCGACCGAUCCUGAAGUUUUCGGAAGGAUUUGAGUAAGAGCAUAACUGUUCGGACCCGAAAGAUGGUGAACUAUGCGUGGAUAGGGUGAAGCCAGAGGAAACUCUGGUGGAGGCUCGCAGCGGUUCUGACGUGCA
rnacentral:rRNA from 1 species